rnacentral:rRNA from 1 species
GUGGGGAAUUGUUCGCAAUGGGCGCAAGCCUGACGACGCAACGCCGCGUGGAGGAUGAAGACCUUCGGGUCGUAAACUCCUUUCGAUCGAGAAGAAUUCCUUCCGGGUGAACAAUCCGGGAGGUUGACGGUACCGAGAGAAGAAGCCCCGGCUAACUCCGUGCCAGCAGCCGCGGUAAUACGGGGGGGGCAAGCGUUGUUCGGAAUUACUGGGCGUAAAGGGCUCGUAGGCGGCCAACUAAGUCAGACGUGAAAUCCCUCGGCUUAACCGGGGAACUGCGUCUGAUACUGGAUGGCUAGAGUGUGGGAGAGGGAUGCGGAAUUCCAGGUGUAGCGGUGAAAUGCGUAGAUAUCUGGAGGAACACCGGUGGCGAAGGCGGCAUCCUGGACCACGACUGACGCUGAGUGAGCGAAAGCCAGGGGAGCAAACGGGAUUAGAUACCCGUGUAGUCC